UGGGGAAUAUUGGACAAUGGGGGAAACCCUGAUCCAGCAAUGCCGCGUGAGUGAAGAAGGCCUUAGGGUUGUAAAGCUCUUUCGCCCGCGAAGAUAAUGACGGUAGCGGGAGAAGAAGCCCCGGCUAACUCCGUGCCAGCAGCCGCGGUAAUACGGCGGGGGCUAGCGUUGUUCGGAAUUACUGGGCGUAAAGCGUACGUAGGCGGAUGCGCAAGUUGGGGGUGAAAUCCCGGGGCUUAACUUCGGAAUUGCCCUCAAAACUGCACGUCUUGAGACCGAGAGAGGUAAGGGGAAUUCCUAGUGUAGAGGUGAAAUUCGUAGAUAUUAGGAAGAACACCAGUGGCGAAGGCGCCUUACUGGCUCGGUACUGACGCUGAGGUACGAAAGCGUGGGGAGCAAACA
rnacentral:rRNA from 1 species